rnacentral:rRNA from 1 species
GAUGAACGCUGGCGGCGUGCCUAAUACAUGCAAGUCGAGCGAACAGACGAGGAGCUUGCUCCUCUGACGUUAGCGGCGGACGGGUGAGUAACACGUGGAUAACCUACCUAUAAGACUGGGAUAACUUCGGGAAACCGGAGCUAAUACCGGAUAAUAUAUUGAACCGCAUGGUUCAAUAGUUAAAGACGGUUUUGCUGUCACUUAUAGAUGGAUCCGCGCCGCAUUAGCUAGUUGGUAAGGUAACGGCUUACCAAGGCAACGAUGCGUAGCCGACCUGAGAGGGUGAUCGGCCACACUGGAACUGAGACACGGUCCAGACUCCUACGGGAGGCAGCAGUAGGGAAUCUUCCGCAAUGGGCGAAAGCCUGACGGAGCAACGCCGCGUGAGUGAUGAAGGUCUUCGGAUCGUAAAACUCUGUUAUCAGGGAAGAACAAAUGUGUAAGUAACUAUGCACGUCUUGACGGUACCGAAUCAGAAAGCCACGGCUAACUACGU